rnacentral:rRNA from 1 species
CGGGGAAUAGCCUCUACGAAAGAGAGAUUAAUACCCCAUAGUAUCUCGAAACUGCAUGGUUUUGAGAUUAAAGCUUCGGCACUUUGAGAUGGGCGUGCGGCUGAUUAGGUAGUUGGUAGGGUAACGGCCUACCAAGCCAACGAUCAGUAGCUGAUGUGAGAGCAUGAUCAGCCACACGGGCACUGAGACACGGGCCCGACUCCUACGGGAGGCAGCAGUGAGGAAUAUUGGUCAAUGGAGGAAACUCUGAACCAGCCAUGCCGCGUGAAGGAUGAAGGUCCUCUGGAUUGUAAACUUCUUUUAUAGAAGAAGAAACCCCAUUAUUCUUAAUGGGUUGACGGUACUCUAUGAAUAAGCACCGGCUAACUCCGUG